GAGAUAAUACUUAUAAAAUGUACCAUGUCUGAGAUGUAGUAGGCACUUAAUAAACUCUUGUUUUCUCCCUACUAAAGGUCUUCUGUGGAUGACACAUGAUUUAUUGGGCAUGUUGUAGAGGAGAUGCUUAAUUAGAUAUGGAUUAAAUUUGGUGGUCAAGAAGAUCCUUUCCAGCUCUGAAACUGUGAUUCUCUUGUGUAUCUUUUUCAUAAAAAGAAUGUGGCCAGUGGAAGAGCAAAGUCUUGAUAGUCAGGGGACCUAUGUUCAAAUCCUGUCUCGUAUUCUCAGAAUGACCUUGGGAAGAGCACUUAUUCCUCUGAGUGACAGUUUCUUCCUUCAUAAAAUGAAGACGCUGGAUCUCAUGGGCUCUCUUCUAGUUUUAUUCCAAGAGCACAAAACAGAACAUAAAUGAGGAAGUGUCUUACUUGGACAUGAAACUGACAUUGAGGCUUGAAGGGAGGUAGAGAGUCCAAGAAGCAGAGAUGAAGAAGGAUGCCAUUCCAAGCAUGGGGGACAACUUAUGCAAUGUCAGGAAGGUGACAUGGAAAUCUGCAUGUGGAACAUUGUGUAGGAGAAAAAAUUAUUCCCAAAGAGCUGCUUCCUCCUGUAAGAAAUACUUCGUAAAUCUACUCCUUCAACAAGACAACUCAAGACUUUAUCAUCACACUAGUAACCAAGAAGGUCUUGAGAAGCAACAGGUUGAGAAACUACUUUGGAAAGAAACUUGA
rnacentral:lncRNA from 1 species